rnacentral:snRNA from 1 species
AUACUUACCUGGCAGGGGAGAUACCAUGAUCACGAAGGUGGUUUUCCCAGGGUGAGGCUCAUCCAUUGCACUCUGGGUGUGCUGACCCCUGCGGUUUCCCCAAAUGCGGGAAACUCAACUGCAUAAUUUGUGGUAUGC